rnacentral:tRNA from 1 species
GCGGAAGUGGCUCAGUUGGUAGAGCAUCACCUUGCCAAGGUGAGGGUCGCGGGUUCGAGUCCCGUCUUCCGCUCCG